rnacentral:lncRNA from 1 species
AUCCAAAGCAUCAAACUCCUUUCUCAUGGCAUCCUGCCAUACUGGAACUGAUGCAGCUUGAGAGUAGUAAAGGGGUUCAGUCUCCAGAGGAGAAGAAAAAGACCCAGAAAAAGCAGGAAGGUGGCAAAUAUAAUUCUUAAGGUAAGAAGGAGGAUUGUGCUGUCUGCCAGAUUUCCUGGGAACAGCAGUUGAUGUGGAAGAAGGUAAAGCAAGAGGGGAGAUGUCAGGGUUGAAAGGAGGACUGCAAUUGGAUUUGAAGAAGGAGAAUCUGGAACACGAGGUGGAGGUGGAGAGGAAGAGAUUGGAACAGAGAAGUCUUGGUCAGAAGAGGAAUGUUCAAGAGAAGGAAUAAUAUGAAAAGAGGAAGGAAAAGCAGGAGGAACAGAAGUGACAGAAGAGGUAGAUUUGAAAGGAAAGGUUGAAAGGAGGACUAGAAAUUGGAUUUGAAGAAGGAGAAGCUGGAACAGGAGGUGCAGGUGGAGAGGAAGAGAUUGGAACAGAGAAGUCUUGUUCAGAAGGGGAAUGCUCAAGAGGAGGAAUAGAAUGAAAAGAUGAAGGAAAAACAGGAGGAACAGAGGUGACAGAAGAGGCAGAUUUGAAAGGAAAAGAAGUUUCA